rnacentral:rRNA from 1 species
GAUGAACGCUAGCGGCAGGCUUAAUACAUGCAAGUCGAGGGACAGCACAGGUAGCAAUACUGGGUGGUAACCGGCAAACGGGUGCGGAACACGUACACAACCUUCCUUUAAGUGGGGGAUAGCCCAGAGAAAUUUGGAUUAAUACCCCGUAAUAUAGUUGAAUGGCAUCAUUUGAUUAUUAUAGCUACGGCGCUUAAUGAGUGGUGUGCGGCUGAUUAGAUAGUUGGCGGGGUACCGGCCCACCAAGUCUAAGAUCAGUAGCUGAUGUGAGAGCAUGAUCAGCCACACGGGCACUGAGACACGGGCCCGACUCCUACGGGAGGCAGCAGUAAGGAAUAUUGGUCAAUGAACGCAAGUCUGAACCAGCCAUGCCGCGUGAAGGAUUAAGGUCCUCUGGAUUGUAAACUUCUUUUAUUUGGGACGAAAAAGGGCCUUUCUAGGUCAACUGACGGUACCAGAUGAAUAAGCACCGGCUAACUCCGUGCCAGCCGCCGCGGUAAUAC